rnacentral:misc_RNA from 1 species
AUUGUGUCCAAGUGCCAUUCGAGUAACCGGCGGGAUUGCCUUUAGCAAUGGCAUAUGUAUAUGACCAAGUGUAUCAUUCGGAGUAAUCAAUGCUGUUUCAAAUUCCUCAGCUGAAAACUCCACUCUGAUAUUCAACAAAGGCCUAAAAACAUUCAAGAAAUUCAAUAUGGAAGCUAACUGCCACAUGGAACGUAUAUUCCACCGAGGCAACUGUGAUGGUUCAGGCUCUCCCACAAGCUGUGUGACAAUCUUUCCGCAUUGUUGCCGCGAAGAAGGCGACCCAUUUUCACCUUCCUCUACCUCCUCCUCGUCAUCACCUUCUUGGGACUUCUCUUCAUCCUCCUCCUCCCUCAACAACCUAGCCGCUAGCCUUUCUUUCCUACCUGCAGUCUUUUUCUUCCUUACCUUAGUAGCAGCCUCCGCCUCUGCUGCUGCUGCUGCCUGUAACCUCGCCGCAGCCCUUUUGGUACACUCCCUCGCGGGCCUCUCUCUCCUAACUAUAUUACUACUACUAUUAUUAGCAUUACUAUUACUGUUAAAGUUAUUCUGUGAACUUUUCUUCUCCGGUGAAUGGGAAGGUUUGUUUUGGGAGUUUUCGUUGUGGGUGUGGUUCGUUUGGUGUUGGAUCGGAGAAGAAGGUUGUGGGUCGGACAUGAUAAUGAGGGGAUCGGAG